rnacentral:rRNA from 1 species
AUUGAACGCUGGCGGCAGGCCUAACACAUGCAAGUCGAGCGGAUGAGUGGAGCUUGCUCCAUGAUUCAGCGGCGGACGGGUGAGUAAUGCCUAGGAAUCUGCCUGGUAGUGGGGGGACAACGUUUCGAAAGGAACGCUAAUACCGCAUACGUCCUACGGGAGAAAGCAGGGGACCUUCGGGCCUUGCGUUAUCAGAUGAGCCUAGGUCGGAUUAGCUAGUAGGUGAGGUAAUGGCUCACCUAGGCGACGAUCCGUAACUGGUCUGAGAGGAUGAUCAGUCACACUGGAACUGAGACACGGUCCAGACUCCCUACGGGAGGCAGCAGUGGGGAAUAUGGACGAAU